AUUGAACGCUGGCGGCAGGCUUAACACAUGCAAGUCGAACGAGCGGCGGACGGGUGAGUAAUGUCUGGGAAACUGCGUGAGGGAGGGGGAUAACUACUGGAAACGGUAGCUAAUACCGCAUACCAUCAGAUGUGCCCAGAUGGGAUUAGCUAGUAGGUGGGGUAAUGGCUCACGUAGGCGACAAUGCCUAGCUGGUCUGAGAGGAUGACCAGCCACACUGGAACUGAGACACGGCCCAGACUCCUACGGGAGGGAGCAGUGGGGAAUCUUGCACAAUGGGCGAAAGUCUGAAGCAGCAACGCCGCGUGUGUGAAGAAGGCCUUCGGGUUGUAAAGCACUGUCAGCGAGGAGGCGUUACUCGCAGAAGAAGCAACGGCUAACUCCGUGCCAGCAGCCGCGGUAAUUC
rnacentral:rRNA from 1 species